UCAGGCCUAACACAUGCAAGUCGAACGGUAGAGGGGCAACCCUCGAGAGUGGCGAACGGGUGAGUAAUGCAUCGGAACGUGCCCAGUCGUGGGGGAUAACACUUCGAAAGAAGUGCUAAUACCGCAUACGACCUGAGGGUGAAAGCGGGGGACCGCAAGGCCUCGCGCGAUUGGAGCGGCCGAUGUCAGAUUAGGUAGUUGGUGGGGUAAAGGCCCACCAAGCCGACGAUCUGUAGCUGGUCUGAGAGGACGACCAGCCACACUGGGACUGAGACACGGCCCAGACUCCUACGGGAGGCAGCAAUGGGGAAUUUUGGACAAUGGGCGCAAGCCUGAUCCAAAAGUGCCGCGUGCGGGAAGAAGGCCUUCGGG
rnacentral:rRNA from 1 species